AGGUGAUUUUGGUCAUUUCACCUCUUGAGCUUAUCCCUUAUCAGCUCAGCCCGAGCCCCAGCCUGUUCUUAUCAUGUUGGAGGCAGGGAACAGGGUAAGAACCAUUUCUCUCUUUCUCUCUCUAGAUUUUUUUCCAUUUUGAGGUGGAAAAGGGGAUUUGAGCCUAUUUCUUUCUCCUCUUUUGUGUGCGCUGGUUUGAGAGGCAUGGAGCAGCUGUGGAAAGGUGGAGGAAGGAUUUUUGGAGGUAAUUUACAGCCCUAACCCAGCUUGUAGCUGAAUGGAAGUUAGCUGAAUUGGGAAGGUUUAAAGCAGCCUUAGAGGAAUUGUUUUGCUGUGAGGUUGCAACCUGGAACCAGGGACAAGCUGAAAUGAUGUUUGAAAGCUGGUUUUGCAUUGG